AGGCAGGCAUGUCUGUCUUUUCUCAGAGUAUGAAGAAUUCAAAGACCUCAUAAAAUCUAUGCUGAGGGAUGAGCUGCAAUUAUACAAUGUGAAUAUACUUGAUGCUACUAAAAUGUACACUUAAAAAAUGGUAACAGUGUUAAAUUUUUAUGUUCUGUAUAUUUAACCAUAGUAAAAAAAUUUAAAAUUUUCAAUAACUUAAGAAAAUACACACACAAAAAAAGUCUACCUGAAUUAGUGUUGUCACUUUACUCUGUGUUCCCCUUGGUGGCAGGAGUAGCCAUGCGGUAGAAGAAUACCAAUCUCAGCUCUCUGCAGUGUGCUGGAUAUUGUGUUUGCUCCUCCAGCUCCACUUUUGGUGCUUCUCUGCCCAGCUCAGACUUCCAGUAGGGUGGGCAAACAGGAGGCACUUGCAGGCGAUCAGAAGGUGGGAAGAGAUUCAUGUUUUAAAAAAGUGACAUUGCUUUAUUACUGUUGGCAGGUGGGGCCUGCACCACUUGCCAGAACGGUCUGUGACUUUCCAGUUACUUUUCAGGGCCUCUCCUUGUGUUUUGGUGGGUGUGUCUAGAGGAAGAGAGGAAAGCAAAUGCCCUUUUAGAGCAAGUUGCCUUUUAAACUGCAAACUUGAAACAAAUAAAGCAGGUUGAAGAUCACAGUGUGUGC
rnacentral:lncRNA from 1 species